rnacentral:pre_miRNA from 1 species
UAGACAUGUUAUUGUAUUCGACUAUAUUUACGGCAUGAAACAGGGGAUUACACUAUUUUUAAAUGGAAAGUGAAUCAAUUAACAUAAUAGACUCCU